GAUGAAGAACGUAGCGAAAUGCGAUAAGUAAUGUGAAUUGCAGAAUUCAGUGAAUCAUCGAAUCUUUGAACGCACAUUGCGCCCGCCAGUAUUCUGGCAGGCAUGCCUGUCUGAGCGUCAUUUCAACCCUCAUGCCCCUAGGGCGUGGUGUUGGGGAUCGGCCAAAGCCCGCGAGGGACGGCCGGCCCCUAAAUCUAGUGGCGGACCCGUCGUGGCCUCCUCUGCGAAGUAGUGAUAUUCCGCAUCGGAGAGCGAUGAGCCCCUGCCGUUAAACCCCCAACUUUCCAAGGUUGACCUCAGAUCAGGUAGGAAUACCCGCUGAACUUAAGCAUAUCAAUAAGCGGAGA
rnacentral:misc_RNA from 1 species